rnacentral:rRNA from 1 species
CUGCUGCCUCCCGUAGGAGUUUGGGCCGUGUCUCAGUCCCAAUGUGGCCGUCCACCCUCUCAGGCCGGCUACUGAUCGUCGCCUUGGUGGGCCCCUACCCCGCCAACAAGCUAAUCAGACGCGGGUCCAUCUUACACCACCGGAGUUUUUCACACCGGGCCAUGCGGCCCUGUGCGCUUAUGCGGUAUUAGCACCUGUUUCCAGGUGUUAUCCCCCUGUGUAAGGCAGGUUACCCACGCGUUACUCACCCGUCCGCCACUCGAA